rnacentral:lncRNA from 1 species
AAUAUAGGAGCUAGUCAUUAUCCCUCUGUCAUGUAUUUCCUUCAAAUUGUUUUCAUUUAAAGUUCAUAUUGGCACUGUUUGACAACUGCCAUCGUUGCAGCUUUACGUCCGCUAGCAUGUAAUUUCUCUUUUGCCUGAAUUAUCUGAGUGAGGUGGUUAUCCAGGGAGAUAUCAGAUAAUAUUUCAUUCUUUGACUCAACCUGUUCCAAAGGGACAUCGGGGGAAAUUGGUAUUACUGAUUUGUGAAAAACAGUAAAACUUAACAACAGUAAGAAACAUUAUGACCAAUGUCAUCACAUUCUUUUUCAUUCAUUAUAUGUUUUCCUUAUGAAGAAAGCAGAAUGAGAAGCACAUAUGAUUUCAUGAGAAGUAUAAAGAAACAUAACCAGACUGGAAAUACUUAGUGAGACACUGGCAAGGUGGAUGGGGAAGCCUUUCCCAUGGGAACUAGUUAAAAUUUAAGAUCUGGGAAAAACAAACAAAAAACAAAACAUACUUGAGCUAUUCAAUUAUUGGAGCAAAACUACAUUUAAAAAACGUUAUAAUUUUCACUAAAAUGAUAAAGUUUGUGCUAGAUAAUUGAUGACCAGGCACUAUUACAGGCAUAUAUGUAACAGUCUCUUGAUGUGAACAAGUCAUUUAUUCUCCCCAAGAAUGCUUUUCUACACAGUUGCAAUAUUGAACAUGUCAAAUUUUCUUGAACUCUUGUUGAUUGGAGUGUAAGAAAAAGAGAAGAGGAUAUAGUUGGAGGCUUUUGGGAGAGGUUGUCAGUCUGUCUUAAUGAUUCUAGUUGAGUGUAGAUCUUUGACCAUUAAAUCUUUAUUAACUAAGAUGUUCAUAUUACAGAAAAUAUUUAGUGUAGAUCUUUGGCCAUUAAAUCUUUAUUAUAACUAAGAUGUUCAUAUUACACAAAAUAGUUAGAUCCUUGUGGAGGUGCAUAAGCACUGAAGGUAAGUGCAAAACAAAGAACAGUUGCUUUUUCAAGGUGACUUUUCCACAAUGCAUUCUGUAUUUCUAAUACAUUGUACAGUCCUAAUCUGUCAGUCCACAAAAAUAAAGUUGGGUUUACUCAAUAGUAUAUUAAAAUUUAUUCCAUCAAUGGAGCAGAUUUCACUUAUUCAUCGUGGUGACCAUAAUUAAUUUGCUCUUUGUCAUCUUCUUCACCCAUUACUCACAGUUCACCAUCCCACCUUAAUUAGGAGGCAAGACCCUUCCAGAGAGGGACCCAUUGGCAACUCUGUCGCCUGGAAAGAGUUACAUAAAAUAUGUUAAAAGCAGAAAUGGCUGCAUAACUUGUUCAUCAUAUUUUCCCUAGCAGGUGGAUUCUUAGUGGGCAGAGUAUGUGUUUCUGGUGUUUUUGCUGCCAAGCACAUUGUGGGUGUUCAAUGAAUAUUAAAUAAUAAGAAGAAUUUCCUAAUUAAGAUGAACAUUUUUCUAUAUUAAGCAGAUGGUGCUCAAUAGGAGUAGCCCAUUAUUUACAAGUAUGACACAAGGUGCUGGCAAUUGUCUAGGAAAUAUGGCUCUCACUUCAUAUGCUGAUUAUAUGUUAAAGGAAACUUUUGUGACAAACAGCUUGAUCAAUAUUAGUUAAUGUUUGUAAUAAAAACUGAAUAGGGAUGGACUUUGUGUGUAUAUGUCUAUAAUUCUGUUUUGAUUAUUAAUAUUGGCUUCAACUAUGAAAAUGUUUCUUGCUGAUUGCUGCAAGGCAAGUUUGGCAGAUAGAGUAGAUCUGAUUUUAUCCCAUAGGCUCACCAUUUGAUUCAAAUCCUCAUUAUUGCCUGAUUUCUAAAGAGAUUUUUCUUUCAAGUCCUUUGAGUAUUUCUUUGAGUUACUAAAACUAGAUGUGAACACCUCCGUGAUAUUUGCAAUGCUUAUAUUAGCAGCUAAAACCUCAGUGGAACUAACGGGAGUUAAUUAGGCCUUCCCAAAAUACACAUCAUUUUAUGAUUUUGCAGAUCACCCCGAUGAAAAUAACAGUCUAAUUUCGUCAAGUCAUGUAAAUUAUAGUGAGAGGGAUGAUGAGAGUAGGCAAUUCUCAGUUCUUUGGAGGAGUUAAUUUUGUUGUCAGCACAUCCACAUUUCCAAAAAUCACAAACCACAGGCAGAACUUUCUAGCAACAGUGAGAUUUGGUGAUCACAUACUGUUUCCAUUUCUAACUCCUGCCUUCUAUGUGGUGUCUAUGCAAAUCGGGGCUUUCAAGGAUAUAAAACUAGCAGCUUCCUGUAUUAGAAGCUCUGUGAGCAGCUGCCAUGCUUUCUCAUAAAGGAUAGAAAACAUCCUGUUUACUAACAGACACCCACAUACGUUCACACCAAGCUCUUCUGUUUAGGCAGAGCUUUUAUUUUGGUAUGAGAUAGGCAGUGCAGGAAGUGUAGCAUUAUUCAAGUCUCUUAGAUACAUUCCAUUCAUUCCUUGCACACAUAUUCCCUGAGUGCUAACUAGGUGCCAGACAUUGUCCUAGACGUGGUGACUCCACUGGUGUUUGAAACAUGUUCUCUAGUGUUGCUGGGAACUCAUCAGCGGUUUCGGCAUGUGUUGGCAGAUUCUUUGCAUCCAGUCUCACCUCCUUAUUUUUAAUAUUUAUAAAUCAUGCUCAUCAGGCUGUCAGUAGGUAGGAAAUGAAAGCAGCUGAGAAACCCUGCCAAGACAGAACAAAUCCCAGAGUGAGCUAAAAAUAUGUUGACCACAAGGAUGUGGGGCAAAUCAAGAUAGGUUCUUGAAGCGGCAGAAACAAGUCAUGUGCCAGAAUCCAGGCUUUACUCCAUUGUCGGAUAACCAGCGGGCUAGAUAUUUCACCUGUGCUGUCUACAAGCCCUGUUAAGAAGUCAUGAUCAUGUGCUUUUCUACAGAACUGAAGUUGGCCCAGAACAUGAGUUUGUAAAUGUGUUUGCUUAUGUAAAGCUUAUGAUAAUAAAACAAAGAUGAAUUAUCUUUCUAUUUUAAAAAAGGAUCUAUUCUGUAACUCCUUAUGUCUGAGUCCUCCCAGAGAUUUGCAUGAUUUGUCUCCUUCAGUUCUUUUAGAUCUUGAUUCAGAUGUCACCUUAUCAGAGAGCCCUUUUGACAAGCAUCUUCAUCUGAUGCCCCAUCUCGAACCUGCUUAGCAAACUCUAUUGUCUUUUAUGUCUCUUAUCAUGGCCUGAGACAUUAUGUUUGUGCUUGUUCCUCUUCCAGUCCCCGAAUGAGACUGUAAGCACCACGAGUGCCGGACUGUUCUAACUAGUGCUAUACCUUUACCUCCUCAAGUAGCACCUGGCCCAUGAGUGAUGCUCAUUACCCAGUUGUUGAGUAGAUGAAAUGAGUCUAUGUGGAACUGUUAGUUCCUUAAUUUAAGAAGCAGUAUUGAUCAAGAAAUCUUAGUGUUUGAUUAGAACUUAGAAAAGUCUAUCCCACUGUGUCCCCCAAUUUUUGUGCUAAUAUUCUCUUAUGCAAUUUUAGCCCUCUGGGCUUUAUGCUUUGAAAGAUGUGAUCUAUGAAAAAGACAUCUUUGUUAGUAGUAUUCAUUUCUCCAUUUUUAUAAAUCAGAGACAAAUGAAACUGCCAUCAGAAAUUCUGAUAGCCAGAGGUGAUGUGGUUCCAGCUGAAAACCAAAAGCAGUGAAUGCGUCAAUGAGACUUUGCGUUGGGUAAAUAAAUGACUCCUAUUUCAUUUUUUGAAAUUUUAUUCGUAGUUCAAGAAUCUCUAUUACCAAUGUCAUGGUCCCUUUUUACAGAGAGUUUGGAAACUCCAGAAUGAGCCCAAAACACACAUCUCAUGAGUGAGGAAAUCUAAAACCAGGGUAGAUUUCGUGACUUUCUCAAGGUUACACCUCUUAUUAUAGUGAAGCUUUGAUCAUAGGGUCUUCUGAAUCCUAGCCAAGUGCCAUGGUUACUGUUUUGUGUAUGUUCUCUCUGAACCACCUGUUUCAGAGUCUUUUGCAGGUUCUAACCAUAGCCCGUUAGCCCUGUGGAUUCAUAAUCUCUGGGAUUAGAACCCAGGGCUCUGCAUUUUAAUCAGUUACCUGUGUGUUACACAUACCAGUAUUUAAGAAUCAGUGACCUAUUUUGUGCCAGGAUUCUUUAUUCUCCAUUUGAAUGGAAAAAAAUUAGAAAAAUUCAAAUCUUAUGACCAAACUAUACAGAUAAAUGUUUAUCAAACACUUUGACCAAUGGUUUUUCUCAGGGAGAGAUACUGGGGGAGAGAAAUAAAAAUCUGUUUAGUUUUAGCAUUAACUUGAAUAAUAUAAGCUAUGAGAGACUUUGAAAUUUGAGGUUUAACUCUAUUUCCUUAAUUUCUUCUACAGACCUUAUAGAGUCCCAGGGGCCAAGGAUGGAAGAAAUAACUGGAAUAGCUCCAGUGUAGCUGAGGAGGAUGUUUAGGAUUUCAUAGGGCUGGAGUUCCCAUUGUGGUUCAGAGGUAAUGAACCUGACUAGUAUCCAUGAGGAUGCGGGUUUGAUCCCUGGCCUUGCUCAGUGGGUUAAGGAUCUGGCGUUUCCAUGAGCUGUGGUGUAGGUUACAGGUACAGCUUGGAUCCCAUGUUGCAGUGGCUGUGGUAUAGGCCAGCAGCUGCAGCUCCAAUUCGACCCCUAGCCUGGGAACUUCCAUAUGCCACAGUGUGGCCCCUCCAAAAAACAACAACAAAAAAAAACCCCAAAACAACCCAAAAAACAAAAAACAAAAAAACAAAAAAACAAUCAAUCAAUCUCUUUGCAAACUCCUGGAUAUCUCUCCCAGUCCCCCAAAUAGCCUCGAUCUUCCCAAAUAGAAUAAUGAGUGAGUUCUCAGAGGUAGUGCUUAAAAGCUAAAACUCUAUUAGGUGCUAUUAUUAUUAUUGUUAUUAAUUUGCCAGACUCACAAUUACUGUUGCCAUGAUUACUGCCCAGUCACAUUACCCUUGGCCUUUGUUCCAGUAAAUGUCCCCAUUUCUAUCUUUAGGGAUGGACCAUGCAGUUCAUCAGCAUUUUACUUCCUGACAUACAACCCUGAGAUUGAACAAUUCAAAAAAUUUCUCAAAAUGGCUUUGUGGGAUGUUAAUUUAAUUCUCUGAGUGGUGAAAGCUGUUUAAGACAUUUUUCAAAGGUUAGGCUAGUGAAUAUUUCAUACCAUGGAAACUGUCUUAGGAGAGAGUUGGAGAAUUAAGGCCACAAAAAUGAAGGAAAUACACUUGAGGAAACCUUAUAAACUGGAAUGUCUCAUAAGAAUAUUAAUAUAUUAUUUUUCUCCAUCUUGAAAUUUCCUCAGGCAUGUGUUGAGUGAGCCGACUUCAUGGUUGUAGUGUUUGGUUGUUCUUUCUAUGUUGCUUUACAAUACUCCCUGUGGCUAUCAUAUUGACUUCAACACUGUGGAUAUAAUGAUGAUAUAGGAAAAUGAAGGCAUUAAUAACUUGGUCUCUAUGGACAGAUUGUAAUAGAAAACCUUAUAAAUAAUUGCCCACUAAUGGGAAAAGUGAAAAUAUGCACUGUACUAUAGUGGUCAUAAUAUAAUCAUUACAAUUAUAAUUAUGUGACAAUGAAAGAACUCAUUAUGCAUUAGUUUAUCUUUACAUAAUGUUAAUAGCUAAUGAAAGUGUGACAAUUACAUCUAAUUAAGUUUAACAACAUUUCUGCACUUCUUAUAAACGGACUACAUUUUGCUUGAAACAGUGUAUGCAGAGACGGUAGUGAAGCCAGGGUCCACCUCUAUUAUAAGUUUUGAAACACAACCAUCCAUCCUACCAGAAACCAUAACUUAAUGCCUUUUUGUUACAUGUACUGUAAAUAUGAGUUCUUACAAAGGGGUUAGCUUUCUAAACAGGUUUCUUGGAUUAUGUCAUCGAUAUAGUUAAAAUAUCUGUGUGUAUUUGACUCAUCUGUGUUUUGUCUGUAACUACUGCUUUUGCUUAGAAUACUUCUACAAUUUUCAAGUUAGAAGAGGUCCACCCAGAUAUGGGAUUGAAGGAUAGGAGUAGCUGUUGGUUCUUUGCUAUAGACUAUAAUAUACAACUGACCCCAGCAUCCUACCCAUGUGACUUAGGCAAAGAGUUAACUAUCUGUGCUUCAGGUUUCCCACAUGUAAAGUUGAAAUAAUAGUAUCUGCUCUUUGGGAGUUCCCCCAUUGUGGCUCAGCAAGUUAUGAACCUGACUAGUAUCCACACAGUGGGUUAAGGAUCUGGCAUUGCAUGAGCUGUGGUGUAGGUCACAGACAUGGCUCAGAUCCUGCAUUGCCAUUGCUGUGGCUAUGGCGUAGGCCGGCAGCUACAGCUGCAAUUCAACCCCUAGCCUGGGAACUUCCAUAU